UAAGCGGAUGUGAAUCCAAGGGCUCAACCUUGAACUGCAUUUCGAACUGGCAGACUUGAGAAUGGGAGAGGAAGCUGGAAUUCCCUAGUGUAGGAGUGAAAUCCGUAGAUAUUAGGAGGAACACCAAUGGCGAAGGCAGGCUUCUGGCCCAUUUUCUGACGCUGAGGCACGAAAGCGUGGGGAGCGAACGGGAUUAGAUACCCCCGGUAGUCCACGCCGUAAACGAUGGAUACUA
rnacentral:rRNA from 1 species